rnacentral:rRNA from 1 species
UACGAAGGGGGCUAGCGUUGCUCGGAAUCACUGGGCGUAAAGCGCACGUAGGCGGCUUCUUAAGUCAGGGGUGAAAUCCUGGAGCUCAACUCCAGAACUGCCUUUGAUACUGAGGAGCUUGAGUCCGGGAGAGGUGAGUGGAACUGCGAGUGUAGAGGUGAAAUUCGUAGAUAUUCGCAAGAACACCAGUGGCGAAGGCGGCUCACUGGCCCGGUACUGACGCUGAGGUGCGAAAGCGUGGGGAGCAAACAGG